rnacentral:rRNA from 1 species
GAUGAACGCUGGCGGCGUGCCUAAUACAUGCAAGUCGAGCGAACGGACGAGAAGCUUGCUUCUCUGAUGUUAGCGGCGGACGGGUGAGUAACACGUGGAUAACCUACCGAUAAGACUGGGAUAACGUCGGGAAACCGGAGCUAAUACCGGAUAAUAUGUUGAACCGCAUGGUUCAAAAGUGAAAGACGGUCUUGCUGUCACUUAUAGAUGGAUCCGCGCUGCAUUAGCUAGUUGGUAAGGUAACGGCUUACCAAGGCAACGAUGCAUAGCCGACCUGAGAGGGUGAUCGGCCACACUGGAACUGAGACACGGUCCAGACUCCUACGGGAGGCAGCAGUAGGGAAUCUUCCGCAAUGGGCGAAAGCCUGACGGAGCAACGCCGCGUGAGUGAUGAAGGUCUUCGGAUCGUAAAACUCUGUUAUUAGGGAAGAACAUAUGUGUAAGUAACUGUGCACAUCUUGACGGUACCUAAUCAGAAAGCCACGGCUAACUACGUG